CUUUCCCUUCUCUGUCAAACUCUCUCUACCUAAACCCUAAUCCUCAAGCACUGUCACCAUCCUUAUCCCUCCAUUCUAUGAUAUUUAUUUGUAAUCUCAGGCCUAUGCUGGCCUCCUACUUCCUACAGUUCAUCAGUUUCUUAGAUCCUUAGGAAGAUCGCAAGGGACCUAGGUGGUCUGAUUUGCACCUUUGACUUCUAUGCCUGUUUCAGGAUAUUUGCUCGACCUUGAGUAAUAAACCUCUCUUAUUUUGAAAUGAAUCCUUGAUUUUCUAAGCCUAGAUUCUCGUCUCUAUCAUGCUUUCUAAAAACCCUAAUUUUUUUAUCUCUGAUCUUCUCAAAUUUGUAUAUAUCUGAGACAAAUCGAACAUAUCUCACAUCUUUCCCUUAAAGGUUUAUGGUUUUCAACUGAUUUCCCGUUUCCUAAACUAGGGUUUCCCCUAAUUCAUCUUAUCAAAAAGGUUUUUCAAACUUUUGAAGGCUUAGUCAUUUGUUCUUAAGUGUUUUGGCUGAUUUAUGCUAAAGUUGUAUAAGCGCUAAGUUGAUUUGUGUUAAAAUCUAACUGUCUAAUGUUUUCCUUCGAUUAUGAACUUUACAAAGUUACCAGUCAUGUUGGUUCAUUCUGUAUUCUAAUUUACACGCUUUUACUUAGUCGGAUUCCCUGCUUUGUGAUUUUAUCCUAAUUAACAUCUAUUAGGGUUCUGAAUUAUUUUUCGCCUAAUUUCUCUAUGUCCCUAAAGUUUUAUUCAGCCUAUUUUUCUUAUGGAAAUUGAUAUAUUCUUUCCAGAAUAUUUGAGAGAUUUUCUCUGUUAACGUUCACAUGUAUGAUUCUUGAUUAUUACCUUGUUGAUGACUUUAAUUAGUUUUCUUGUCUAUUUAAUUGCCUAUAGUAUCUACUGAUCUUGCACGAUUAUUUCCUUCAUUUGAUUCUUAAUUAUUCAUUAUUUGCCUAAGUCUUAAUUGAAUUUCUUUCUUUAAAUAUUUCUUGUCCUUACCGUUGAUCAAUUACCCUUAGUUAAGGGAAGAUUGUGCUGAUUUUUCGUGUAAUUGGUUCUGUGAUCAUUCCUUGAUUAACUGAAAUUGAUUCUUUUACCUUAUUUUCUCUACUCUUGAAGUAUUAUAUAAACUCCUCUAUUUUACUUCUUAGAUACGAACAUCUGUUAAUAACACACAAAUACACUUAAACUCUUCUCCUUCUUUGUUACUUGUGCUAUUGUGGGUCUAGUCGGCUGAAAGCCAAGGCUAGAUACUGAGACUAGACAUGCUCUAUAUUCUGCACUCUUUUUCCUUUAACUGGUAUGUCUCUAGUUAAAUUUGAAAGCCAAACUCUUUUUGUUUCAUUCCUGCACUAGUUCAUUGACUAUGAAUUUAACCUAUCCUCUUAUUUACUUUUUUACUUAGCAUGCUAUUCUGCCAUGUUCAAUGUAUAACUAGUAUUUCUACAUUUCACCUGUUAUCUGAUGCUUGACCAACCUAUUUGUUAUUUAUGUCUAAUCCUUUAACUAUAUGAUCAUGCUGGUUACUUAAUGCAUAUGGUUGAUCCUACUUGUGUGUCUGAUUCUGUCCUCUACAUCUUUGCUCCAUGUCUUAAUUGCCUGCUAUCCUGGUUAGUUUAUUUAGGCUAUGAAGCUCCUAAGUGUUUUAUGCAUAUUGUUUUCUACAUGCCUCCCUGCACCCUAUUCAUGUACCCUCAAUGAGAUUCCUAAAUGUUAUCAAUCCCUUUUACCCUUGUGUGCAAAUCUGCCUGCUAAAGUGCUUGUAGAUAUGAACCUUCUAUGAUUGUUUGACUAUCUACUGAAUUUUCUCUCUUCCGAACUAAUUUGAAAAUGUUAUCAGUAUUCUUCUAAAAAUUGAUUUUCAUUCCUUGAAUUUUCUUAAAAAACGGGUCUAUUCUAGAAAAUCUUUUCACUCCUAAAAAGUUAUCUCCAUACUGUUUUCACUAAGUCUUUCAAACUAUGUCAAACACUCUUAGGUUAUUAAGUUCUGACCCUCUGGUAUGUGUUUUGCUCAGGGAUCCUUGGGAUCUCUCUGAACUCUAGCAUAUCAGGGCUGACUCUUUCACACUGCACAUAACCAGUCCCUAUUUGAGAGAAGUCUUGGUAUGAGCACUGCCCGGGAUCGUUGAGGUACUUAGGGAACUUUGACACACCUGGACACUUGUUGGCUAUGAUAUUUCUGAGCAUUUGAGACAACAUUGAAGGUCUGGUACUCCCAGGUUUACUUUGGGCCUGCUUUAGGAUCCCAAUAGUAUCAUUUUAUAUUUCAUCUGUGUAAUAUAUUCAAUCAUGCUUUGUAAUAAUUAUUUGCAAACAAAUAUUGGGGCAACUAG
rnacentral:lncRNA from 1 species